GGCCGGUUAGCUCAGUUGUUUAGAGUGUGGUGCUAAUAACGCCAAGGUCGCGGGUUCGACCCCCGUACGGGCCA
rnacentral:tRNA from 1 species